AUUGAACGCUGGCGGCGUGCUUAACACAUGCAAGUCGAACGGUAACAGGCCCUUCGGGUGCUGACGAGUGGCGGACGGGUGAGUAAUGCGUAGGAAUCUGCCUUACAGUGGGGGAGUAACCUAGGGAAACUUAGGCUAAUACCGCAUAAGCUCUACGGAGGAAAGCGGGGGAGUCGUAAGACCUCGCGCUGUUAGAUGAGCCUACGUCCGAUUAGCUAGUUGGUAGGGUAAAGGCCUACCAAGGCGACGAUCGGUAGCUGGUCUGAGAGGACGAUCAGCCACACUGGGACUGAGACACGGCCCAGACUCCUACGGGA
rnacentral:rRNA from 1 species